rnacentral:rRNA from 1 species
CAGUCGCCACGGUAAUACGUAGGUCCCGAGCGUUGUCCGGAUUUAUUGGGCGUAAAGCGAGCGCAGGCGGUUUGAUAAGUCUGAAGUUAAGGGCUGUGGCUCAACCAUAGUUCGCUUUGGAAACUGUCAAACUUGAGUGCAGAAGGGGAGAGUGGAAUUCCAUGUGUAGCGGUGAAAUGCGUAGAUAUAUGGAGGAACACCGGUGGCGAAAGCGGCUCUCUGGUCUGUAACUGACGCUGAGGCUCGAAAGCGUGGGGAGCGAACAGGAUUAGAUACCCGUGUAGUCCCUGUCUCUUAUACA